rnacentral:rRNA from 1 species
AGUGCACGCAACGUAUGCGGAAUUCAUGGUGUAGCGGUGAAAUGCUUAGAUAUCAUGACGAACUCCGAUUGCGAAGGCAGCGUACGGGAGUGUUACUGACGCUUAAGCUCGAAGGUGCGGGUAUCGAACAGGAUUAGAUACCCUGGUAGUCCGCACGGUAAACGAUGGAUGCCCGCUGUUAGCGCCUGGCGUUAGCGGCUAAGCGAAAGCAUUAAGCAUCCCACCUGGGGAGUACGCCGGCAACGGUGAAACUCAAAGGAAUUGACGGGGGCCCGCACAAGCGGAGGAACAUGUGGUUUAAUUCGAUGAUACGCGAGGAACCUUACCCGGGCUUGAAUUGCAGACGCAGGAUACAGAGAUGUUGACUCCCUUCGGGGCGUCUGUGAAGGUGCUGCAUGGUUGUCGUCAGCUCGUGCCGUGAGGUGUCGGCUUAAGUGCCAUAACGAGCGCAACCCCUUUCCUUAGUUGCCAUCAGGUGAUGCUGGGCACUCUGGGGACACUGCCACCGCAAGGUGUGAGGAAGGUGGGGAUGACGUCAAAUCAGCACGGCCCUUACGUCCGGGGCUACACACGUGUUACAAUGGCCGGUACAGAGGGACGGUGUAAUGCAAAUUGCAUCCAAUCUUGAAAGCCGGUCCCAGUUCGGACUGAGGUCUGCAACCCGACCUCACGAAGCUGGAUUCGCUAGUAAUCGCGCAUCAGCCAUGGCGCGGUGAAUACGUUCCCGGGCCUUGUACACACCGCCCGUCAAGCCAUGAAAGCCGGGGGUGCCUGAAGUUCGUAACCGCGAGGAGCGACCUA